GCCCUGCUUGCACGCGACAGGCACCGUGGGAGACGCUGGACCGACCCCACAAACUCAAGCCAGCGCCGGGCCCGCCGUGGGGGUGCGGCCCACAGCCUAUGGCAGAGCUUCAGGAUGGAGGGAAGGGCCUGGAAGCUUCCCUGCGCUAAGGAAGCUCUUGGUCAGCGCUUCUGAAACCCGCCGUCCCGGGGAAAUGACCUCUGAGACACAGAGCAAGAGGAACCGGGAAACUUCUUCUUACAGAUAAAGGACACAGCUCCUGGUGGGAGCGAAACACUGUGGCCCACACACUCCACACACGAACACACGUUCGCUAGGACUCUGCGACUGCUCUGCCAUGGUCUUCCCCCCACGGGCCCCCCAUUAGAGCUCAUCACACUUGGAGCUUUGGCUUGAAGAACGUGGGCACCCAACUUGCCUCAUGGCCUCUUCUGAGGUGAGGGCGGCGCAGAACUGGGUGGUCCACUCGGAGGGGAAGAACAUACCGGGCCAGGCCCGCAGCGCCUGGAGGCCAAGCCCGGGGGUCAGGCCGGGGCAAGCCGGGCUCCCCCUCAGAGGGCGCUGAGGAGACGGCCCCAGAGCGCUCCCCACAGGGAGGCGGCGGGGCCGCAGCAGGCCGGCCACAUUCUGAGAAGAGCGGAAGAGGGAUUGUGAAACUCCCUAGUGGCCCGCUGCAGAAGAGAGGGAUUUGCUUUUCUAAUGCCCCAGAAUCGCAUCCGGAGAACACUAAUUUUUUAAUUCAGAUUUAUUUACGAUCACAAAGGAAAGGCAUGUUGCUUUCUCAUCCUCUGGUGAAGUGUUCUUAAUGGUGGGAUGUUAAAAAAAAAAAAAAGAUGGUAUGUCAUUUAUUGAGCUUCUCAUAGAAAAAAAUGAACAUUUUUUUUCCAUGUUUAUUUGACAAAGGCUGUUUUUCUCAAGAGGUUCUCACCAAACCAGCCUCAGAAUCCAGCCGCGGCGGAAAACAAAGGCGUUUUGACACUCAUGGCUACUUGUCAGUCCCCACGCCGCCUUGGCGCGGCCGGCACUGGGAAGAAAGGCAGAUCAGAAAAAGGAGGUUUACAGGUCAAAUAAUGUGCCCAAGAGCAGUCUGAGUCCAGAGUUCUUAACAUUGCCCUUUGCAAACUCGAAGAUUGACGAGGUACUUUUUUAUGGUUUGCAAGAGCGGUUGUGACAAGACCGCUCCCAGUGACAGGUAAUGGAGGAUCCCGUUGUUUGUGUGUUUCCACCCAGAGCUUGUCUUACCCUUUGCUUCCUGUUUCAAAAUCAGUUUCUGAUCCAUAACAAAACAUUACACUUAAUCCCGUCUACAGUAACUGAAUAUUUUUAUUACCAGUUGUUGCAGAGCCUGGCCAAAGCUUUCUACAAGCUAAAUAAAAUAAGCCACAGCCGUUGGGAAUUGGUUCGC
rnacentral:lncRNA from 1 species